CUAAUUUAAUUACUAUUAUCUACCUAAAUAAAUAUACUUAAAUAAUAAAAUAUCUAAAUCUACGUAAACUACCUAACUAAAUAACUUAAUUAAAUAAUUCAUAUUGUUCUACACUAAUAAAAUAAAUAAAAUAAUAAAUCUACAAGCAAACCCGCGCGAAACAAGUCGUUCGAGAUUUCUUUUGUUCUCUGUCGAGCGGGCGGACUGUUUUUUAUGUAUGCGCAAGCGACGCGCCUACGGCCGCGAUGCUCCCGCCGCGUCUCCUAGCCUAGUCCGAGCCAGAGCGUUAAUGAGCACGGACGUAUCGCUGUCCGUCACCGCCGGACCCGCGAUGUACGUAACCUUAUAAAACUACAAAUAUGUAAUCGCGUACUGGUGAACCCCGCUACCGGGGUUCAUCCUCACCUUCAUCUUCACUACAACUACCUGCCAUGCAUGGCCAGCGGCUCCUCAACCCGGCGGAGCUGCCUGCCGUGUCGGACGGCCCGUGCGCACAUUCUAAGUGGCCCUACACCACAGUGCGUACGGCCCUAACCGUCUGGCGCGUCGACGACUCUGCGGGCCUACCAUCAAGAAGAACCAACCCACAUCACCAUCAAUACUAGCGAGGACAGUGGUUUGAAUAUACUACCACCGGUGACGAAUCUCGUGCGAUACGAUAGUUUGCUCGUAACUCACACCCUUAAGGUCUCUUGCUCUAAAUUAUAAUAAAUGACUUGUUAACUUAAA